rnacentral:lncRNA from 1 species
GUCUGGAGGUCUAGUAUCAUGGUUGUAGGAUAGGGGCUCCUAGAGUUUUUCGUACUCCUCACCUGGGGUUGGGUGAGGGUCGGCGGAGGAAAGUAUGGAGGUCUAGUAUCAGGGUUGUGGGAUAGGGACCCCUAGAGUUUUUCAUACUCCUCACCCGGGGUUGGGUGAGGCUUGGCAGGGCUAUUCAUAGAUGAUUUGUGUAUUGGAUUUUGUCUUAUGCUAGUUAAUGUCUGAUAUUAUUGCAUGCUA